UACGUAGGGUGCGAGCGUUAAUCGGAAUUACUGGGCGUAAAGCGUGCGCAGGCGGUUCGUUAAGUUCGUUGUGAAAGCCCCGGGCUCAACCUGGGAACUGCAAUGGAAACUGGCGGGCUUGAAUGCGGCAGAGGGGGGUGGAAUUCCGCGUGUAGCAGUGAAAUGCGUAGAGAUGCGGAGGAACACCGAUGGCGAAGGCAAUCCCCUGGGCCUGCACUGACGCUCAUGCACGAAAGCGUGGGGAGCAAACAGG
rnacentral:rRNA from 1 species